CUGAAUUGAAUUUGAUAAUGGCUCGAAAGAAGAUUAGAGAGUAUGAUUCCAAGAGACUUCUCAAGGAGCACUUGAAACGCCUUGCUAAUAUUGAUCUCCAGAUUUGCUCUGCUCAGGUGACUGAGUCUACGGACUUCACUGAGUUAACAAAUCAAGAACCAUGGCUUUCUUCUUCAAAAUUGGUGGUGAAGCCCGAUAUGCUAUUUGGGAAACGUGGGAAGAGC
rnacentral:misc_RNA from 1 species